rnacentral:lncRNA from 1 species
CCAAAAUAAAACUACAUUCCCUCUGAAAGUUCUAUGAAAAUACCAUUUUUUGCCUCUUCUAGCCUUUGGUGGCUCCAUGUGUUCCUUGGUUUGUGGCAUCAUAACUCCAAUUUAUGCCUCUGUCUUCAUAUGGCCUUCUCUGUGUCUUCUACUCUUUUCCUCAUGUGUCUCUGGUAAGGUUACUUACUAUUGGAUUGAGGGCAUACCUUAAAUCUGGCUGAUUUCAACUCGAUACUCUCAAUUACAUCCACAAAGACUAUUUUUUUCCAAUGAAUGUCACAUUCACAGAUUCUAGGGGUCAGGAUGUAGACAUAUUGUUUUGGAGGCCACCAUUCAACCCAAUAUAGGCCCGAGCAUUGCUAAAUCCUGAGUAUAAAAGAGAGAUAAAGUUAGCCCCAACAGAUUUUAUUUUCAUACCUCUAUUUCUUAAACGAGAGGCCAAGGAUAACUCCUUAAUUCUGAAUGAAUCACCCACCAAAAUUUGAGCUGAAAAUGUUUAGCUGUAGAAGUGGAAACUUAGAGGUGCAGACUGAAUCUCAUUUCUUUCCGUUUUUGUUUUGUUUUGUUUUGUUUUUUGAGAAGGAAACGUGAUCCUUGUCACCAAACAUGUAUAUUUUUAUGCUAUGCUUUUGUCUUCUAAAGGAGUUAUUUUAUGCGAGGAUGAGGAUACAGACCUUCUGACAGGCAACUUUCAGUCCUCAGUGUCCUCCUUGUAAGAGUUACUUGUGUUAGCUUUCAUGGAGCUUUCUGUUUUAAACAACAGCAAAACAAAUCUAUUCAAACUGUUGCAAUUUCUGAAAAAUUGUUUUUCUCCCCCUCCUUUUUACGAUGUCUUCUGGGAAACUGAAAUGCAAUUUGGAAACAAAUGACAGCUCAGGACUCACUCUUCCAGCUCUAAAAGGAAUUCUGAGCACAAAUUUUAAAGUUCAGGUUCAAGCAUUUAGGUUUUAAUUCAAAGGGAGUUGUACAUUUGCCAUAACGUCCUUUUUUUCUUUUAUGAAAACAGACAUUCAGUUAUACAAAGGGAGAUGCUAACAUCUUACACCACCCGCACGUAUUAGAAUUUCUGUUCUGUGUCAGCUUUGUGUUCACAAGAACUCCUGCAUGUUUUUCCCCCAGUCAUGGAGAAAAUAUAGCAUAUUACCUACUGCUGUUAUUUACAUAUAACUUGGCUGAUGAAAAUUUAAUAGUUUUUAAACCAGUAAAAUACAGAUGAGGACUAGAGAACCAAUGACUGCUGCUAUUCAGAAAGGGGUUGAACUUUCCUCCUUCUGCACUAAUGUCUAUCCAAAUACAACUCCAUUAAUGCUAAUUAUUGUCAGUGAUUAUUUUCUAUGUGGACAUUUAUUUAUUUAUUUUCUUUAAUGAUAAAAACUAAAUCUUUGUAUACAUGGAAAAUUAUUUUGACUACAGGAUCUGAUAGAUAUUUGAGUUACUCAGACAAAUGAUCAUUUCAGUAAGUAGUUUAUUUCUUUCUCUUGCCUGAUUGUCCUGACCAGAACUUCCAAUACUAUGUUGAAUAGGAGUGGUGAGAGAGGGCAUCCUUGUUCUGUGCCAAUUUUGAAAGGCAAUGCCUCCAGCUUU